GCAGCCGCGAGGUGCUGCGCCGCAGGCCGAGCGGAGGCCCAGACGCCCGCGACGCCACGUGGAAGUAAGAUGUACCUCCUUCGGUGCCAGGAUGAGUUGCAACAAGGGCUAUAACCUAUGCUCAUGGCACAUACGAAGAUUAUUCGUCGCUGAUAGAAAGGGGCUUUGGAUAACUUGACGGAUUUCCUAGCUUUGGUACUCAAGACCACCAUUGCAAUGGAGUCUUUGAAGUGGUUCAAGGCCAGGUAGCCUAAUUGGAAAGAGUUUCCAUGAAGAGUGAACUCUUAACUGCCUCUUGAAUUCCAUCGAAAUGGCAUCCUGACCCUUGCAGGCAAGAAAGAUCAUGAUGCAAAACAUUAUGCUGCAACAGGACUGAAAGGAAACUCACAAUGGACACCUGCCAUGAACACUGAGGAUGUGGGUAGUAGAUUACUCUUCAAAACCAGCAGAUCCCAAGAUGACAAUGCUACGAGAGAUGAAAAGUUCUACGGUGUAUGGUUAUUGAAGCAAAGGAUUUCCUACAGAGGAAUUUUGCUUUGUGGCAGUUACAUAAGCAGAAGUGAAAUACAAGAGUACCAGGAUAAGAGUGAUUUUGUGUAAGGGCUUGUACAUGUAUUCUUAAAUACUUAGAAUGUACAGGUUUUCUAAAAUAAAAAUAUAUUCAGA